rnacentral:rRNA from 1 species
UACGUAGGGGGCUAGCGUUGUCCGGAAUCAUUGGGCGUAAAGCGCGUGUAGGCGGCCCGGUAAGUCCGCUGUGAAAGUCGGGGGCUCAACCCUCGAAUGCCGGUGGAUACUGUCGGGCUCGAGUGCGGAAGAGGCGAGUGGAAUUCCUGGUGUAGCGGUGAAAUGCGCAGAUAUCAGGAGGAACACCGAUUGCGAAGGCAGCUCGCUGGGACGUUACUGACGCUGGAGACGCGAAAGCGUGGGGAGCAAACAGG